rnacentral:rRNA from 1 species
UACGUAGGGUGCGAGCGUUGUCCGGAAUUAUUGGGCGUAAAGAGCUUGUAGGCGGUUUGUCGCGUCUGCUGUGAAAUCCGGGCUCAACCUCGGACUUGCAGUGGGUACGGGCAGACUAGAGUGUGGUAGGGGAGACUGGAAUUCCCUGGUGUAGCGGUGGAAUGCGCAGAUAUCAGGAGGAACACCGAUGGCGAGGCAGGUCUCUGGGCCAUUACUGACACUGAGAAGCGAAAGCAUGGGGAGCGAACAGG